GCUCCAAAGCGAAGCUCAACUUUCCUGAAAGACUUGUUCAAGGCCAGCCUCAAUUGCUUUCUCAAGAUACUUCACCUCAGCAUAAUUCCCAUCACUUUGAAGAAUUUAAUACUGCUUCUGCCACUGGUAUUUCAUAUCCACACCUUCUCCAGUAUGCCCAGCUACUUUCCAGCAAUGAUGCUGAAUUCCCUUUCUUCACUUCAGCUCUCUAUAAUAAUAAACAAGAUGGUAGCACCUCAAAUAUUCUUCAGCAACAUGACUUUCCGUCCCAGCAUGAUGAUUUUUCUAGUUAAUUAGUUAUCCAGAUAUUCAAAAGCAUGACCACAACCAAAGGCGACCCCAAGAUUUC
rnacentral:lncRNA from 1 species